GUUCCUGGGCUACGGCUGUGCAGUUACCUUCCCGUCGCCCUGCACCUUCAUCGCUGGCACCUCUAGCCAGCAUCCUUGCCGUCCCCACCAUUGCUUGCGCCUCCAGCCGCCGCCGCCAUCCGUCCCCGACACUCCGGCCACCGCGACCAUCCAUCCCUGACGCCUCCUGCUGCCAUCCGCCCCCGACAACUCCGGCCGCCGCCGCCUCAGCCAUCCGUCCCCAACGCGUCCAGCCACCACCACUACUAUCCGUCCCCGACUCCUCCGGCCGCCAUCUGUCCCCGACACCUCCGGCCGCUGCCGCUGCCAUCCGUCCCCGACGACUCGGCUGACUGCUCGUAUCCAGCUGGCACCUCCCUCUCUAGGUACCUCUAUUUUGACUCCAUAUCCAUUGGCACAACUGAAAUACAGUAGAUGGCACCAAGUAAGGCAUGGAUGGAUUUAGUAGAUUAACGUAUCAGUGAGGAAUGUUUAGAUGGGAAUAUCUCCAAAAAAGAUAUUUAUUUGGCUGGUGUAAAAAAGUUUUUGGACUAUGCCUUCAAUAGGACAGGUAGUUCUGAUGAAAUUAAAUGUCCAUGCAUCAGAUGCUGCAAUACAUACUCCAAAUCUCGUGGAGAAGUGUAUUCACAUCUUAAAAAUCUUUGGGAUCAUAGGAAACUAUAGAUUUUGGUAUCAUCAUGGAGAAGUUUUGGGUGAGCCUGAGACAGAUUCAGAAAUUGAACAGGAUGAUGGCUCUUAUGAAAUAACUGAAGAACAAGGUUAUAAUGGAAUGGAAGAGUUGAUGAUGGAUUUAUUUCACCAAGAAACUAACCCAAUCAGCAACACUAUGACGCCACCAACUCCCAAUGAAGAACAUGAACAGGAACCAAAUGUUGAAGCUGCAAAAUUCUACAAAUUGCUUGAAGACUUGAGCCAACCUCUUUAUGAAGGAUCUAGUAUAUCUAAAUUAGCUGCUACUGUUAAGUUGCUUAAUACAAAGAAUUUGGGGAAGUGGAGUAACAAGUCCUUUUCCAUGUUAGUGGAGUUACUCCCCAAGGACUUUCUACCAGAUAAUUCCACUUUGCCAAACUCUUAUUAUGAAGCCAAAAAGAUUAUGAAGGAACUGGGACUAAGCUACAUAAAAAUCGAUUCUUGCCACAAUGAUUGCAUGCUAUACUCGAAAAAUGAUAUAGAUGCACAAUUCUGCAAGGUAUGUAACAGAUCGAGAUGGAAGAAAGAUAAGCACUCAGGUGAAGAUAUAGUGUCAGCCAAAGGGAAGAAGAUCCCAGAGAAGACUAUGUGAUAUUUUCCAAUCAAGCCAAGACUUCAGCGACUGUACAUGUGUAGGAAAAUUGCUAGUUUCUGUACAUGGCAUAAUGAGGGCAGGGUAGAUGAUGGUGUGAUGAGGCAUCCUGCUGAUUCUAAAGCAUGGAAACAUUUUAAUGAUACCCAUCCCUCUUUUGCUUCUGAACCUCGCAAUGUACGGCUGUGCCUUGCUGGUGAUGGUUUCCAGCCAUUUACUAACAUAAAAACAUCAUACAUCAUUUGGCCUAUAUUCCUUGUUCCUCUCAAUUUGCCACCUUGGUUGUGCACAAAGCAGCAGAAUAUAAUGCUUUCCAUGCUGUUUUCUGGACCAGAAUGUCCUGGGGAUGCAAUUGAUAUAUACCUGCAACCAUUAAUUGAAGAGCUGAUUGAUCUCUGGGAUAAUGGCGUUGACACCUACGACGCAUCAAAAAGGAAAAAUUUCACACUCCGAGCAGCUCUUCUUUGGAUUGUUCAUGACUUCCCAGCAUAUGGGAAUCUAUCAGGACAUAGCACCAAGGGACGGCUGGCUUGUCCUGUUUGCCACAAAGAAACAUGGUCAUUAUGGUUAUCAAAGGGUAAAAAGUUUUGCUACAUGGGCCAUCGGCGAUUCCUUCCAAAUGAUCAUAAAUGGAGAAAGAAUAAAACUUCUUUUGAUGGUACCAGGGAACAUCGUGGCCCACCAAAGCCACUAACAGGAGAUGAGGUGGUACAACAGGUAAAUGAUCUAGAGGAGGUAGUCUUGUCUAAGGAUCCGAGUAAGAAGACCAAGAUAUCACACAGUGAAAGAGGAGAUAACUGGUUAAAGAAAAGCAUAUUUUUUCGAUUACCUUAUUUCAGCACACUUUUGCUGCGUCACAAUCUAGAUGUGAUGCAUAUAGAAAAGAAUAUAUGUGAGUGUAUUAUUGGAACAAUUCUAAAUAUAAUAGGAAAGACAAAGGAUAAUAUUAAUAGUCGCCUUGAUUUGCAAGAAAUGAACCUAAAGCCGCAUCUGCAUCCUAUUGAAGAUGAUGGCAAGACAGAUUAUCCACGAGCACCUUACGAUCUCACUACUGAACAAAAGAAUAAACUAUUGCAAUUCUUCAGAGAUUUGAAAGUUCCAGAUAGUUUUUCUUCUAAUAUCAGCCAUUGUAUUAAUUUGAAGGAGCGAAAGCUUUCUAGACUGAAAAGUCAUGAUUGCCAUGUCAUCUUGAAUCAUAUACUUCCUUUUGCAUUAAGAGGACUUGUACCAACAAACAUUUAUGCACCUCUGGUAGAGCUGUCCCAAUUUUUUUGCAUAUUGAACUCCAAAGCAUUAUCAACUCAGCAACUGGAGCAACUUGAGAGUACAAUACCAAGCACAUUAUGUAAACUUGAAAUGGAAUUCCCACCCUCUUUUUUUGAUCCCAUGAUGCAUUUACCUGUACACUUGGCUAGCGAGGCCCUGAUUGGUGGACCCACAAUAUAUCGUUGGAUGUAUCAAUUUGAGAGGCAAAUAAAAUUUCUAAAGUCCCUAGUUCGUAACAUGGCUCACCCAUAGGCUUCCAUAGCAGAGGGCUAUCUUGCAUAUGAGUCUAUAACAUUGUGCUCGAGGUACUUGGAUGAUAUGGAGACAAUGCACAAUCGACCUGGAAGAAUCAAUGAUACAUCAGACCAUGAAAAAUUCUAUUUACCAGAAUUCUCCUCUUCUGGACGGCCACUUGGUGCUUGCAAAACUAGAGACCUUGAUAUGGUUGAGUUACAACAAGCCCAUAUUUAUGUUCUCCGAAAUUGUGAUGAGGUCCAACCAUUUAUAAGUGAGUACACCAGCAGUCCUGAGGGCUCCCAAUUACAACAGUUUACACCCCUUUGGAACCAAAAUUUUAUUGUUUGGUUCAAAGAGAAGGUUCAUCAUUUACAUGAAAAUGAUAAAAGUGAACGAAUGGAAGACCUUUUGUCAUUGUCACGAGGCCCUCUAAAAAACACAUGUUUUUCAGGCUAUGAUACACAUGGUUUUAGGUUUCGCAUCGAAAGUUGUGAUAGGAACCGGUGUACACAGAAUAGUGGGGUGGCUGUUAUUUCUGAAGGAAGCAUGGAUGAGGACCAUGUAGAAUAUUAUGGUGUUUUGACAGAGAUACUUGAGCUCCAAUUUUUAGGUGGAAGGCGAGUGCCAUUAUUUCGUUGCAAGUGGGUUGACAUCUUUAAUAACUCUCGAGGGAUAAAGACAGAUGUUUAUGGACUUGUUAGCAUAAACUUCAAGUGUUUACUUAAGACAGAUGAGCCAUUUGUCUUAGCUAGACAAGCCUCUGAAGUAUUUUUUUGUUAAGGACAAUCUAAUCAAAGGAUGGCACUUGGACGUCAAAAUGCAACCACGUGACACUUAUGAUGUACCCCCUGGAGAUUCAGAUGAUGAAGCAAUUGAACCUGAUGAUGAUGGUUAUGAAGACGAGCACAUUGAGGACCCUUCAAACAUAUCAUCAUGUGGAAAGAGGAAACCAUGAUGGUGCUAUUUUUUUCAUGAGUUGGCUAGCUGUUAGUGUAAGCCUUAGUACAGUAUGGCCUAGAGUUCAAUUAGAGUCAAGGUUAGCUAGAGCAUGCAGCAGGUUUAAUCCUUUGUUUCUUUUCCCUAAUCUCUUCUCAUGCACUGCACACCACUCUUAAGAAAUAUUGCUAUAUUUUCAUUACCAGGUAAGAAUAUUGCUAUAUUUUCAUUACCAGGUUCAGUGCUUAUCAUAAUAAUUUUCCCUUCAUACACCACUUUUAAGUAAUUGAUAUGGCUGCUUACCAGGUUCAGUGCUUAUCAUAAUAAUUUUCCCUUCAUACACCACUUUUAAGUAAUUGAUAUGGCUUCUAUUUGUUCAGGUUCUCACUAUGCAAAGGGGCAGGUAUGGAAAUCUCACAGCUACAGCAUUGGCUAAGUCACAAUACAUAAGUCCUGGACUGCUUCGUCAGCAACAUGCAAAGCGAACCUAUCCAAAUAUCAGUAGCGGUGCACCAAUCCACAACAGCAGUAAUGUAGGCACCAAUGGUGCUCAUAAUUCAAUCAAGAAAGCUACUAGUUUCAAGAACCAUUUCCAAGUACCUGAGGAUAAUCCAGAAUAUGGAGAUGAAUCAGAUGAUCUGUGUGAUAGGACAAUGAAUACACCGAAGUCCAAAGGUGCAUAUUUUGCAUAUGCUAGCUCUGAACCAGAAGAUGAAGACACAGAUUGGUCAGAAUGGAACAAGAAAGCAAAGAAGUUCUUAUCCAAGAACAAAGAUCUAGUUGAUCAAGAUAGGAUGCAUGCUGGAUGGAGCAGAGAUGAUGGAAGGUCUGUCGAUCAAGACGGAUUGUCUAAUAAUGAUAACAUGGAGUGUCACGGCCCAAUCUCCUCAGGGAGUAGCCGUGGUGGACUGGUGGCUGGGACGAUGGAUUCCGGCGGCAGCGAGAGUUGGACGCCGUCCUGCCGGCCGGCGUCGAGCGGGGAAGCAAGCGUGCAAGGCACAAAUGAAGAAGUAUAUGAGUGCUAACUAUAGCCAACCUGAUUCACCGGGAUCAGCUGGAACAAGAUAUCCGGAUGAAGAUUAUUAAAACAAGACAAGUGAAUGGUUUAUGAGCAGAUCUACGUUGCAUGCAUAUGCCAAUUUUUACAGCUAGUUUGAUCUUCUUUAUAGGAUUGGCCUUAGCCUUUGUUAGUUUCAUGUCCUGGAUAUCUGUUGCAAAAAAUAUGAAGUACUAUGAUGUUGGAUUAUGUUCU